GCCGCCCGGGGUGCCGGAGCCCACCUUGGUGGGGUGGGGGGAUGGGUCUGCGGCUCGCCCCGCAGGGCGGGGUACGCGCGGCCUCGGGGCCCAGCGGCACGUGGGGCGCUGACAGCGGCGCCGGGCGCGGGCAGCCUUGGGUGGGGUGGCCCGGGGUGGGAGCCCGGGCGAGGCGGAGGGCCUGGAGGAGCGGUAACCGCGUGUCGGCGACACAGGAGGUAUCUAGGGCCCGUCCCUUCCCCGGGGGCCGCACCUACCCACUAGAACUGAGAACCGUAUGGGACGGAGAGGGGACCGCGGCCAUCAGUGCCAAGAGGCCCAGACGUGGGACAGAUGGAGCCAGGAGUGUCCUGAAGGAAUCCCAAGAUGCAUUGCAGUCUUGUGAUCCGGCAGAAACUGUUGGCCAUCACUUCAGAGAUCUUUUAGUCCUCAGCAUUGUUGGGACUUCUCUCCUUAAUGACACGUUUAGAAAUUUAAAUGUGUCAAAAUCGGAUACCUUAUUCGGGCUGCUUGGUAUUGUAAGGCACUCUUUAUGUUCACGUGUCAGUAAUUAGUCUGUUCAGAUACUUGGUAGUAUAGCUUAAUAGUUGUCACGUGCCAUUCUGAACCAUAGCUAGUAGAAUGUUUUGUGUGGUUUCAAGUCAGGUUUGGUCUUUAAAAAGCUUUCUGUAUUUAGCGGCUGCUUAAGUGAUAGGAUGACAGGCUUUCAGGUACUGAUCUUGUGGGAAUGUCAAAUGAGUGAAGUUAACAAUUCUCCCCUGUAUAAAAAAGUGCUUAUUUUAGGAACUGUCAAUAUUGGCUUAAAGAGAGAAAGGAAUGUACCUUGGUGAGCCAGGGUAUUGGUGAACCGGAUCACAGAUGUUCCUAGCAAUAUGUGAGAAUAGAUUGUUGAUUUCUCUUUGAAGUUCCACGUAGUAUUUCCUAGUUAAAAGGACAUAAUGAAAGUGCUCUGGGAGUUUAGCUUCUUCAGAAAGAAACUUGCUACAGUUUUCUGUAUAGAGGCAGAGAGUUUGGAGAAGUACUUCUGUGAAAAUGCAGGAUACUGUGCUGGGCAGUUGAAAUGACACCACAAGAUGAAUUAAUCGUAGUCCUGGAGUCUAGAAAGAGGUCAGA